GGCAUUUAGUGACAUUUAAAGUGUAGAUGGGUAAACGCGAUGACUCCGGACGGGAGGUCGUUCCUCGUUAAAACGCUAGCUCGUUUUACAGCUAGCUUAAACGAUCCAGCGCUAGUGACAGCUGGCCGCGUAAAUGUUUUGGCUUCCCUCAUGGACACACUCGCUCGGAUAAUCGCUCUGUGCUUUCUUGGGGUUUCUUCUUCAGCAGAAACACCUCAAUGCUGUUGCCCAUCCCCACUGAUUCAGGCAGAAGAAGGUCGUAAUGUCUCAUUACCAUGUUAUGUGGAUCCCUCAGUUGACCUGUCUGCUUAUACAGUGGACUGGAAACAAACUGACUUGAACAAUGUAGUCUUCUCGUGGCGACACGGGCAUGAAAAUCAUGGUGCACAGGCGCCGAGCUAUAGACGCAGAGUAACUAUCAACCCCGGAGACCUUAGCAGAGGAAAUCUAACUCUGCAGAUCUUCUCAGCACGCCUGUCUGAUAGUGGACAUUACAGGUGUUUUGUGCCAAAACUGAAAACCUUUUGCAUCGUUCAUCUUAAUGUAACCAAAGAGAUUAAUGUCAGGUCCAGCACAACCACAUCUCCAAAUUUCCACAGCACAACCACAACGCUGAAGCCAGAUGAUCCAGAUAAACUUCUUGACGCGCUCCUUCCUGUUGGUAUCAUCUUUCUCCUGAUUGUCGUUGGAUUUUGUCUGAAGAAACGUGUAACGAUCCGGCAAUGCGUGGGGGAGCUGAAAGGGCAGAAACGAGGAGUGGACCGUUCCAUCCACGUUGAACUUCAGUCUUUGGAGAAUUCAACACUGAAAGACGACAAGAACAAGGCUUCUUGAGAAAUGAGUGAAGAAGUACAAUGUUGUGCUUAUCUUUGAUUGGCUGAGUAAUCAAAAUGAUUUUAGAAAGUGUCCUCAAGCUGCUCUCAUUACGUUACAGCUGGUUUAAGUACAGCUUAAUUCAAAUUAAUUACUUUGGAUUGUUUUAAGUGGUUCUAAAAGCUCAUCCUUAUACCCAUUUAGAUACUUAUAUUUGAUCUGUGUCAUUGUCUUGUAUUUCAUAUUGGAAUAGGAUGUGCUUUUGUUUAGUGUAUGUAGCACUUUGCAGCUUGGCUUCAUUUCAGCCUGUGGAGAUUCCAGGAAGUAACUCAAUUAUGAGAACCAACAUCUACACUUAACAUAUUUGUUAUGCCAUUAUUAUAGUUUGAACAUUACUGUUCAUACCUACUGCUGUUUAAAGCACUUUUGUUGUCUUUGAGAAGAAGAGUUUUUGGAUGUCCUCUGUGUCAGUAAUCAAAAGAAUCAGAUCCAAUUUAAUUAAAACUACCUCGUUAUCUAAGGAUCUGGAAACUACAGUGGCUUGCAAAAGUAUUCGGCCCCUUGAACUUUUCCACCUUUUGUCACGUUACAGCCACAAACAUGAAUCCAUUUUAUUGGAAUUCCAGGUGAAAGACCAAUACAAAGUGGUGUACACUUGAGAAGUGGAACGAAAAUCAUACAUGAUUCCAAACAUUUUUUACAAAUAAAUAACUGAAAAGUGGGGUGUGCGUAAUUAUUCAUCCCCCUGAGUCAAUACUUUGUAGAACCACCUUUUGCUGCAAUUACAGCUGCCAGUCUUUUAGGCUAUGUCUCUACCAGCUUUGCACAUCUAGAGACUGAAAUCCUUGCCCAUUCUUCUGUGCAAAACAGCUCCAGCUCAGUCAGAUUAGAUGGUCAGCGUUUGUGAACAGCAGUUUUCAGAUCUUGCCACAGAUUCUCGAUUGGAUUUAGAUCUGGACUUUGACUGGGCCAUUCUAACACAUGGAUGUGUUUUGUUUUAAACCAUUCCAUUGUUGCCCUGGCUUUAUGUUUAGGGUCGCUGUCCUGCUGGAAGGUGAACCUCCGCCCCAGUCUCAAGUCCUUUGCAGACUCCAAGAUGUUUUCUUCCAAGAUUGCCCUGUAUUUGGCUCCAUCCAUCGUUCCAUCAACUCUGGCCAGCUUCCCUGUCCCUGCUGAAGAGAAGCACCCCCAGAGCAUGAUGCUGCCACCACCAUACAGGGAG
ensembl:lncRNA